ACGAACGCUGGCGGCGUGCUUAACACAUGCAAGUCGAACGGAAAGGCCCUGCUUGCAGGGUACUCGAGUGGCGAACGGGUGAGUAACACGUGGGUGAUCUGCCCUGCACUUCGGGAUAAGCCUGGGAAACUGGGUCUAAUACCGGAUAGGAGCCAUUUUUAGUGUGAUGGUUGGAAAGUUUUUUCGGUGUAGGAUGAGCUCGCGGCCUAUCAGCUUGUUGGUGGGGUAAUGGCCUACCAAGGCGGCGACGGGUAGCCGGCCUGAGAGGGGGGACGGCCACAUUGGGGCUGAGAUACGGCCCAGACUCCUACGGGAGGCAGCAGUGGGGAAUAUUGCACAAUGGGCGCAAGCCUGAUGCAGCGACGCCGCGUGGGGGAUGACGGCCUUCGGGUUGUAAACUCCUUUCGCUAGGGACGAAGCUUUGUGUGACGGUACCUAGAUAAGAAGCACCGGCUAACUACGUG
rnacentral:rRNA from 1 species